rnacentral:rRNA from 1 species
UACGUAGGGUGCAAGCGUUGUCCGGAAUUAUUGGGCGUAAAGAGCUCGUAGGCGGUCUGUUGCGUCGGCUGUGAAAACCCGAGGCUCAACCUCGGGCCUGCAGCCGAUACGGGCAGACUGGAGUUCGGCAGGGGAGACUGGAAUUCCUGGUGUAGCGGUGAAAUGCGCAGAUAUCAGGAGGAACACCGGUGGCGAAGGCGGGUCUCUGGGCCGAUACUGACGCUGAGGAGCGAAAGCGUGGGGAGCGAACAGG